rnacentral:rRNA from 1 species
CCUACGGGUGGCAGCAGUGAGGAAUAUUGGUCAAUGGACGAGAGUCUGAACCAGCCAAGUAGCGUGAAGGAUGACUGCCCUAUGGGUUGUAAACUUCUUUUAUAAAGGAAUAAAACGAGGCACGUGUGCCUUUUUGCAUGUACUUUAUGAAUAAGGAUCGGCUAACUCCGUGCCAGCAGCCGCGGUAAUACGGAGGAUCCGAGCGUUAUCCGGAUUUAUUGGGUUUAAAGGGAGCGUAGAUGGGUUGUUAAGUCAGUUGUGAAAGUUUGCGGCUCAACCGUAAAAUUGCAAUUGAUACUGGCAGUCGUGAGUACAGUUGAGGUAUGCGGAAGUCGUGGUGUAGCGGUGAAAUGCUUAGAUAGCACGAAGAACCCCGAUUGCGAAGGCAGCUUACUAAACUGUGACUGACAUUGAUGCUCGAAAGUGUGGGUAUCAAACAGGAUUAGAUACCCCAGUAGUC